CUGAACAAAACACAUUUUAUUAAUAAAUAAAGGAUUAAAAACACAGUUUAUGUAUUCCUUUUCUCCCCAGAAUUUAUUAUAUGCUUGUCAUAUGAUAAAUAAAAAGAAAGCUGAUAGGUUUUAAUUUAUAACAUCUUAAAUUACAACAGAAAUUUGUUGGAACUUGUACUUGAUUUUAUUUAAUAGUACAACGGGCAUGACUGUAUUUUUCACCAGAUCUUUUCUACAAAACCACAAUGUUCAAGAUUAUACAUUCAGUACUGGCAUUAUGAAGUAUGUAAUAUUUUUAAAUUACUAUUAAUUUAUAAUAAUUUCUCUUUCUGUUAUUAGUAAUUUAUAAAAUUUAGUCUUAUAUUUAUUUACUAUGUUACAACUGACUACUGUCAAAAUGAAUCUGCCUAUCAAACUGUACAAAGCAUAAUUUUAAAAACUACUAAAGAUAUAUUCAUUUUUGCUAGUGCAAAGGGCAUUAAUACUCACAUAAUCUCUGUGUUUUGUCUACAAGACAAUCAGGUGGCAGUAACUGAUAACAUUGCAUUACAACACAAUUCUGGCUUGCCUUCAAGAUUCAUCAGUUGUAUGACCUUCUUGUUAUUAUAUUGCUAGCUUCUGGUAACUCCAAACAGUUUUACUGAUGUCGACGCAGGUGAAUGACGGCAACAAAACACGAAACCAUUUAUUAAGCAGAGUUUGUGUUAUUUGAAAGGUGCAGUAAUAUAUUUCAAUGGUCAUCUAUCAUUUAACAACUUUUAUAAUGGGUUUCAAGUCAGGUGCUCUGUACAUAACCAAUAUAAUUUAUACAUGUAGACAUAGUGGAAACAACAUACUUAAUUGGCAAUUCUGGCCAAAGUGUAGUGUAUUCAAGAAAAAAAAAUUAAACUUAAUUUGUUAAACAGUGGCGCAAGACUGGAAGAACUAAGUUUGGACAAGUUUAUAUUUUAUACUCUGUUUAGUAAACAUCUAUCCAUAGGAUUGCGUUAACUUAAUGAAUCUAAUCUCUUUAUGCUUAACGUCUAACUUAACUGCCCUAGAAACCGCAAAGAUAAUAUUCUCGACCUAAAAUGUGAGCUUAUACUUGCUCUAUGAAACUUGAGCAAGUUAGAA